UACGAAGGGUGCAAGCGUUAAUCGGAAUUACUGGGCGUAAAGCGUGCGUAGGCGGUUGUUUAAGUCUGUCGUGAAAUCCCCGGGCUCAACCUGGGAAUGGCGAUGGAUACUGGACAGCUAGAGUGUGUCAGAGGAUGGUGGAAUUCCCGGUGUAGCGGUGAAAUGCGUAGAGAUCGGGAGGAACAUCAGUGGCGAAGGCGGCCAUCUGGGACAACACUGACGCUGAAGCCCGAAAGCGUGGGGAGCAAACAGG
rnacentral:rRNA from 1 species